GAGGUGGCAAGCGUUGUUCGGAAUUACUGGGCGUAAAGGGCGCGUAGGCGGUCUUUUAAGUUCCGUGUGAAAUCCCUCGGCUCAACUGGGGAACGGCACGGGAAACUGGGAGGCUUGAGUUCGGGAGAGGGAAGCGGAAUUCCGGGUGUAGCGGUGAAAUGCGUAGAUAUCCGGAGGAACACCGGUGGCGAAGGCGGCUUCCUGGACCGACACUGACGCUGAGGCGCGAAAGCUAGGGGAGCAAACGGG
rnacentral:rRNA from 1 species